CAGCCCGGAAUGAUGAUUCACAUUCAUGUCUCUUCUCUGAUAAGUUCUUGAAGAAAAUUAUGUGUAUAUCUGACCAGGCCA